rnacentral:misc_RNA from 1 species
ACCUCGAAAAUUGUGACACUACAAAUACAGUAUUCUCUUGUUUCCUUUUUUAAAAUUAUUCAUCUCCGCCGUGACCCGAUCGGAAUUGCCACCAUCACAGCCCUUACACCGCCGCAAGCGUAAUAUUCUCGCCGGCGAGGCGAAUUUUUACCGGGAAGUCUACCGAAAAUGUCAUCGAGGGUGUCGGUAACAGUUUCACAAGACGGAACUGGUGAUUACCGGACUGUGCAAGAAGCCAUAGACGCCGUUCCACUAUCAAAUAAGUGUCGCACUGUGAUUCGUGUAGCGCCUGGUGUUUAUAAGCAGCCAAUUUAUGUCCCGAAGACGAAAAAUUACAUUACACUUGUUGGGCUUAGUCCUGAAGCUACUGUUCUCACCUGGAAUAAUACUGCCACUAAAAUUGAUCACCAUCAGGCAGCAAGGUUAAUUGGUACUGGUACAUUUGGGUGUGGGAGUACAAUAGUGGAAGGAGAGGAUUUUAUUGCUGAGAACAUCGCCUUUGAAAACUCUGCUCCUGAGGGAUCAGGACAGGCAGUGGCAAUCAGAGUUACAGCUGAUCGUUGUGCAUUUUAUAAUUGCAGAUUUCUUGGUUGGCAGGAUACGUUGUAUUUGCACUACGGGAAGCAAUAUUUGAAAGAUUGCUAUAUCGAAGGAAGUGUAGAUUUUAUUUUUGGUAAUAGUACUGCUCUCUUAGAGCAUUGUCACAUACACUGCAAAUCGGCAGGAUUCAUUACUGCACAAAGCAGGAAAUCUUCUCAAGAGACAACUGGUUAUGUGUUUCUGAGAUGUGUGAUCACUGGUAGCGGAGCGACCUCAUAUACACAUCUUGGACGCCCAUGGGGGCCUUUUGGGAGGGUGGUUUUUGCCUAUUGUUAUAUGGAUCACUGUAUUAAGCAUGUCGGUUGGAACAACUGGGGUAAAACAGAAAAUGAGAGAACUGCUUGCUUCUAUGAGUACCGGUGUUAUGGACCGGGUAGUUGCCCGUCAAAACGUGUCACCUGGGCCAGAGAAUUGAUGGAUGAAGAAGCAGAACAAUUUGUCAUGCAUGGCUUCAUUGAUCCUGAUCAACAAAGCCCUUGGCUGUGUCAGAGGAUGGCGCUGCGCAUACCAUAUUCAGCUUAAAGCCCAGUGUCUCGCCACUACCUCGUUAGAUAUCCUUUUGCAGAUCAAUACUUUAAAGUUUCCGCUUUAAUCUUGAUAUUCCACGCGAUAUAAAUAAAAACUUUAGUGGCUAUGUUGCUUUUGUUAUUGUACCAAGUUAACUAAAGCUUCUGGGAGAGUAUCUUCUACUACUAUGAAGAUCAUUUUCGACUUCACCAUUAGGAGUUCCUCCAUAUAGAAGCUAUGGUGGUCGAGAUGGUAAAUGUUUACACACACUUGAUGUUUACACCAAACUACGUUAAUUUUACCAUAGCUAAAUGAUAAGUUGAGAUGAGGAUGUGUUGAUCAACUAUGGAUUAGUGGUAACGUUGUGUGACGUGUUAUGUAUUUAUCAACUAUGGAUUAGUGGUAAAAUUCAGAUAUACA